AGGUGUAGUUGCUGGCCCAGCUCUCGUGGCCGAGCCACGUCUCAUUGCCGGUCCACGUCUCAUUACCAUACCACGUCUCAUUACCAUACCACGUCUCAUUGCCGUACCACGUGGUGUUGGUGUCGUUGAAGGGCGGGGGCCAGCGCACGCACUUCUGCCGCAGGUUUCCCAUGAAGAGCUGGAGCCCCACCAGGGCGAACACACUCAGGCAGAAGACGGUGAGGAUCAUCACGUCCGACAGCUUUUUCACCGACUGGAUCAGGGCCCCCACGAUCGUCUUCAGCCCUGACCAUAGGAGGAGGCCUCGGAACGCCCUCUGGGCCCCGCUCACGCCAUCAUGAUGACACUGAAGUCCAGCCAGUUCCAGGGGUCCCGGAGGAAUGUGAAGCCGUCAAUGCAGAAGCCGCGGGCCAGCAUCUUGAUGAGGGACUCGAAGGGUGCCUCCCUGUGGAUGUGGAGAUGGCAGGUGGCUUGCUGGCCUUGUUCAGGCCCUAGUCACCAUGCCCCUUGCCAACCAACCAUGCCUUUCAUCUGCUGCAAAGCUGCAGUCCACGGUCAGGAUGUUUUGUUUCUCUGGGGAUUGGAAGCAAGACUACUUCAGAGCUGCAUGCGGCCAGUGGAGACCCCUCCUUAAGCUCACCUGCAGUGGGGGUUCAGACUCAAAACUUUCUGGGAGAUUGAAAAAGGUCUGACUUUUUCUAUCCUGGCCAAAGACCGCACCAGGCAUCUGGGUGGACUCCUUCCCAAAUUCCUGCAUUCCUAUUGUGGCCCAGCUCCAAGAACACAGAACAGGUCCCCAUGGCCCCUAGUUAUAAAUCUCAUGUCACAGCUUUUUCUCAGCUGGGGGUGGGGACAGGAAAGGGGUAGCUGUGUUGUUUCUCUGCCAGCACUUAGGGCUGAGGUGUUGGCAGACCAGGGGCCUGGAGGAAGUCACCCCGGGUGCCCUCCCCUCCCGAUUAACACUCUGCAGAGGAAAGCUGCUCCAAGAGGUCUUGGAGGGAGGCCUGGAGCCGGGAGCGGAAGCCUCCAGACACUCAGGAGCCCCGAGAGUUCCGGACACAAUCAGGGUCACAGGAGGGUGUUCCUAGGCAAGGGGUGGGCUAAUGAGGACUGCUCUUUCCAUGUGGGGCUCUCUGGAUCAACACAUGCCCCCUCCUCCUCUAGGCACCCGAUUCAACAGGCCUCAUUAUGUGUCUUCCGCAAGGGGUAAGAAAGCGGUGGCCACAUUUAUUUUGUGCUUUCUAUAUGCUAGGGUUUUUUUCCGGUUCAGGAUAUGUCAGCAGCCCCUCCCCCCACAAUCAGAUCCAUUCUCUGCCAGUCCCCAACGGCUCUCAAAAAACAUUGGUUCGUUUUCCACAACCUGCCUCCUCCUCCACUCAAACCUGACUCUUUUCCUUCAUCCAGAGUGUAUCUGGUUGGCUUGGGGCCCAAUGAAAUAAAAACCCACAAAUGGGAAACAGAUCCUCAAA